rnacentral:rRNA from 1 species
AUGUCGAACAAAACAGAGAAGAUGAGCAGGGGCGUCCCGCUCACGGACGAGGACCGCCUCCCGUGGCCGGAGUCGCUGCGCGACGCCAUCAGAGAGCGGCUGGACCGCAGCGAGGACGUCGCCGUCAGCUGCUCGGCGCUGCGGCUCAAGUAUCAGCCGAGCGGCGAGACCGGGACGAGCGGCGAGACCGGGACGAGCGGCGCGAGUGCCGUGCAGGCGGCCGGACUGAGCGGCUAUGGCGCACGGGCAUAA